AGGAUACAUAUACACACAGACACAGGAUACAUAUACACACAGACACAGGAUACAUAUACACACAGACACAGGAUACAUAUACACACAGACACAGGAUACAUAUACACACAGACACAGGAUACAUAUACACACAGACACAGGAUACAUAUACACACAGACACAGGAUACAUAUACACACAGACACAGGAUACAUAUACACACAGACACAGGAUACAUAUACACACAGACACGGGAUACAUAUACACACAGACACAGGAUACAUAUACACACAGACACAGGAUACAUAUACACACAGACACAGGAUACAUAUACACACAGACACAGGAUACAUAUACACACAGACACAGGAUACAUAUACACACAGACACAGGAUACAUAUACACACAGACACAGGAUACCUGUAUCUGUAACACAUACACAUAUUUUGUUGUUGACAAAAAUGGAUUGCUCAGUGAGCUGCAUGGUGUGUGAAUUACGAGACUACAUUGUUCCGACUGACUACUACAUUGCUCAUUUUGUAGGCUGUUCAGGAACGGGAGAAAAAUCAGGUGUCCAAAGGAUUUUCAGAAUUCGUCCUGUCAAGUCCAAACGGGUCCUUAAAGCUGAACAGUUGGUUUGCGUUCAAGAAUCCCCGCUCCACUUCCAUCAAUCCAGAGAAGAUUCAGCUGUUACCUGCAGACACCACCCCAAGCUGUUGUCAGAUGAUAAUGGGAAACACAGGGGUGGACAUUGAGAUGGAGUUAAUCGGGGAGGAUGAGAGGACAGUAUGGAAAUCAGUGUUAUCAAAAGAUGUGUACAGCAACGACUCUCAUCCAACAUGUAAGUUUGUUUUUGUGGACGAGUUUUAUAAAAUGGGUUAUAGAGCUAACGUCUCUUCAAGUUGGGAUGAAGGACACUGAUGAAGGUCUUCAUGAGUCGUGUUCAGUGGGGUGAUGAAGGUCUUCAUGAGUCGUGUUUAGUGGGGUGAUGAAGGUCUUCAUGAGUCGUGUUCAGUGGGGUGAUGAAGGUCUUCAUGAGUCGUGUUCAUUGGGGUGAUGAAGGUCUUCAUGAGUCGUGUUCAGUGGGGUGAUGAAGGUCUUCAUGAGUCGUGUUCAGUGGGGUGAUGAAGGUCUUCAUGAGUCGUGUUCAGUGGGGUGAUGAAGGUCUUCAUGAGUCGUGUUCAGUGGGGUGAUGAAGGUCUUCAUGAGUCGUGUUCAGUGGGGUGAUGAAGGUCUUCAUGAGUCGUGUUCAGUGGGGUGAUGAAGGUCUUCAUGAGUCGUGUUCAUUGGGGUGAUGAAGGUCUUCAUGAGUCGUGUUCAUUGGGGUGAUGAAGGUCUUCAUGAGUCGUGUUCAGUGGGGUGAUGAAGGUCUUCAUGAGUCGUGUUCAGUGGGGUGAUGAAGGUCUUCAUGAGUCGUGUUUAGUGGGGUGAUGAAGGUCUUCAUGAGUCGUGUUCAUUGGGGUGAUGAAGGUCUUCAUGAGUCGUGUUCAGUGGGGUGAUGAAGGUCUUCAUGAGUCGUGUUCAUUGGGGUGAUGAAGGUCUUCAUGAGUCGUGUUCAUUGGGGUGAUGAAGGUCUUCAUGAGUCGUGUUCAGUGGGGUGAUGAAGGUCUUCAUGAGUCGUGUUCAGUGGGGUGAUGAAGGUCUUCAUGAGUCGUGUUCAGUGGGGUGAUGAAGGUCUUCAUGAGUCGUGUUUAGUGGGGUGAUGAAGGUCUUCAUGAGUCGUGUUCAUUGGGGUGAUGAAGGUCUUCAUGAGUCGUGUUCAGUGGGGUGAUGAAGGUCUUCAUGAGUCGUGUUCAGUGGGGUGAUGAAGGUCUUCAUGAGUCGUGUUCAGUGGGGUGAUGAAGGUCUUCAUGAGUCGUGUUCAGUGGGGUGAUGAAGGUCUUCAUGAGUCGUGUUCAGUGGGGUGAUGAAGGUCUUCAUGAGUCGUGUUCAGUGGGGUGAUGAAGGUCUUCAUGAGUCGUGUUCAGUGGGGUGAUGAAGGUCUUCAUGAGUCGUGUUCAGUGGGGUGAUGAAGGUCUUCAUGAGUCGUGUUCAUUGGGGUGAUGAAGGUCUUCAUGAGUCGUGUUCAGUGGGGUGAUGAAGGUCUUCAUGAGUCGUGUUCAGUGGGGUGAUGAAGGUCUUCAUGAGUCGUGUUCAGUGGGGUGAUGAAGGUCUUCAUGAGUCGUGUUCAGUGGGGUGAUGAAGGUCUUCAUGAGUCGUGUUCAGUGGGGUGAUGAAGGUCUUCAUGAGUCGUGUUCAGUGGGGUGAUGAAGGUCUUCAUGAGUCGUGUUUAGUGGGGUGAUGAAGGUCUUCAUGAGUCGUGUUCAGUGGGGUGAUGAAGGUCUUCAUGAGUCGUGUUCAGUGGGGUGAUGAAGGUCUUCAUGAGUCGUGUUCAGUGGGGUGAUGAAGGUCUUCAUGAGUCAUGUUCAGUGGGGUGAUGAAGGUCUUCAUGAGUCGUGUUCAGUGGGGUGAUGAAGGUCUUCAUGAGUCGUGUUCAGUGGGGUGAUGAAGGUCUUCAUGAGUCGUGUUCAGUGGGGUGAUGAAGGUCUUCAUGAGUCGUGUUCAGUGGGGUGAUGAAGGUCUUCAUGAGUCGUGUUCAGUGGGGUGAUGAAGGUCUUCAUGAGUCAUGUUCAGUGGGGUGAUGAAGGUCUUCAUGAGUCGUGUUCAUUGGGGUGAUGAAGGUGUAAUGAUAUAAAUACUUACGAAGGCACUGUAUAUGAGGCCUUGUCUUUGUAGAAAGUUGAAUCUGUGCUUGAAAUGUGAUACUUGACUGAGGGACCUUCCAGAUGUUGUAUGUAUGGGGGACAGGUCCAAUUUGACAUUAGAGUAUUUUCAGUAGACUGUUGACAAAACAUUACAAUUAAAUCCAUCUUAAUCCCACUAUGUAACACAAUAGAGAAAUCCAAGGGGUAUGAACACUUUUGCAAGGCUCUGUAUGUUAUGUUGAAUAGACAAUCGUGUCAGCCAGGGUAGGUGUCAAUUCCAAAUAAAUUCAUUUUUAUUUUUUGACUGACUUCAAUUGGAAUUGCCUUCAACCUCAUCCCAAACACUUCUGAACCCAUUUACUUUCUAUCUCUCUUUGAUUUUUAUUUGUUUAUACCUUCCGGAAACCUGCCUCACCCACUGUGAUACGGAUUCGCUAUCACUUUUAAUUUUGAUUUAUUUUUAUGACACACUCAAGAACCUCCAGACGCUAACCAGCUAACUAGCUACAAGCUAUUUAGUCAUUGUUAGUUUAAAAAAAUAAAUAAAAAAAAAAAAAAACCUGGAUAACACUCGCCAGCCCAGCUUCCCUGCCCAUCCACCGCUGCCCCUGGACACUGAUUUCUUGGCUACAUAGCUGACGCACGCUGGACUGUCCAUUAAUCACGGUACCCCAUUCUGCUUGUUUGUUUAUCUGUCGGCCCAGUUGCCUAGUCAACGCCAUUUUACCUGCUGUUUGUUGUGCUAGCUGAUUAGCCUCGCCUACUGUUUUUAGCUAGCUUUCCCAAUUCAACACCUGUGAUUACUGUAUGCCUCGCUGUAUGUCUCUCCCAAAUGUCAAUAUGCCUUGUAUACUGUUGUUCAGGUUAGUUAUCAUUGUUUUAGUUCACAAUGGAGCCCCUAGAUCCACUCUGCAUACCCCUGUUA